CUGCACUUCAUGGCAACAGAACCCACAGGAGCAAUGACCUUCAUCACCAUCUUCAUCUUUGUUCUCUUUCUCUGCAUUCAAGAGUCCAGUGGACUCACAGGUUACUGUGACUCAGAGUCCAUCAGUGAGAUCAGUUCUCCAACGACAGACAGUCACUGUGAGCUGUAAGACCAGCAGUGCAGUUUACAGUAACAGCUAUGGUGAAUACAUGGCCUGCUAACAUCAAAUAUCUGAAGGAGCUCCUAGACUAUUGAUUUAUCUUUUAAAUAAACUAAACCCUGGGACCCCAA